AGGUAGAAUUUAAAUUUUAAGAGUAAUGUUGUUAUUUAGUAAAAUGUUUUGAAGCUAUAAAGAUUUGGGUUUAAACCGGGAUUAGAUACCCUGUUAUACCAUUUUUAAAUGUCUGUCGCUUGAGUAGUAGUAGUUAGGGGCUUGAAACUUAAAGAAUUUGGCAGUACUUAAGACUAGUUAGAGGAACCUGUGCCGUAAACGACGUAACACGAAAUAUUUUACUUUACUUUGUAUUCAGUUUGUAUACCGCCAUUAUGAGGUAAUAUUAAUAAAUAUUUGUUGAAAUAUCUUUUUGUUAGUAUAUUAGGUCAAGGUGCAGUUAAUAGUAAAGUGGUCAUGGGUUACAAUAUUUUAAAAGUAAAUGGAUAUUAUUUUGAAAAAGUAUUUAAAGGUGGAUUUAAUUGUAAUAUUAUUUUAGUAAGUUAAUUUGAUAUAGCUCUUAUAGUAUGUACACAUUGCCCGUCGCUCUCAUGGUAAAAUGAGAUA
rnacentral:rRNA from 1 species